rnacentral:rRNA from 1 species
AUACGUAGGUGGCAAGCGUUGUCCGGAAUUAUUGGGCGUAAAGCGCAUGUAGGCGGUUUGGUAAGUCGGUCGUGAAAAUGCGGUGCUUAACGCCGUAUGGCGAUUGAAACUGCUGAACUUGAGUGCAGGAGAGGAAAGGGGAACUCCCAGUGUAGCGUUGAAAUGCGUAGAUAUUGGGAAGAACACCGGUGGCGAAGGCGCCUUUCUGGACUGUGUCUGACGCUCAGAUGCGAAAGCCAGGGUAGCGAACGGGAUUAGAUACCCCGGUAGUCCUGGCCGUAAACGAUGGGUACUAGGUGUGGGAGGUAUCGACUCCUUCCGUGCCGGAGUUAACGCAAUAAGUCCCCCGCCUGGGGAGUACGGCCGCAAGGCUUAAACUCAAAUGAAUUGACGGGG